CUUGACGCCCCGUAUAUCUCUGACGUGUCAGCACGGAUAUUACCAAAGACGACCAGUUGUGAUGACCGAGAGAUAACAAGCUUGCCAACUACAAUAUCCCCGAGCGGAGCAGGCGAUUCCGACCAAUCCAGCGAUCCGUCGGCAAUCCCAGCUUCGCCACUGUAGCCGUCAAUCGCCGGCACACCAUCCGUGUCCAAUAUUGGACAGUUGAUUUCCACGGAAAGAGUUUUCUUCCUAUUUGAAUCGGAGCGGGGGUUCCUGUCCGUCACUGGUAGGAAGCUGGCCCGUCAAGGUCGCGCGAACAGCCUCUCGCGCUCCUCGCAUCCCAACAAGCACCUCUGCUCCGGAAUCUAGCAGCACUUCAGUGGCUGUCAAAGUUCCACCAAUCUGGACACUUCCUGAGACAAAGAGGGAGGCCCCUUCAACCUUGACUGAUCCCGAUCGAGGAAGAGAAUGUAAAAGACAGCGGUUUAACAGGCAGUGUUUGCACGCUUGAUGUAUCUGGGCAUCCGUGAUGGUGACUAUCCCCAUACGCAACUCACCAGGCAUGACGCUGAGGCGGCCGUCGACAUGCAGAUUUCCACACAAGGUCAAGUUGCCCUGCAGAACAUACUGCUGACAGUCCCUCAGAACGAGCGCAUCCUCUUCAACACCUUCGUAGUAGCCCGGUUUAUUCUCGUGUUGGAUAUAUGCUGACGGGAAGUGACCAUGCCUGGAAGUUAGUAAACGCAUCAUGGCCGACACCUCAUGGUGGGACGAUUAAAUUCAAUAUUAUAUAUCAAAAAUUCUUGCGUCUUUCGCAAGUUUUCAAUCGAGAACCCGAACCGCAUGUCGCGUGCUUUUGGUAACCGAAUUGGGACGACAGUAACAGGAACCUCUUCCAUCAAAUACUACUAGCC
rnacentral:lncRNA from 1 species